GGAUUGUGAUGAUUAGUUAUUUCUUGGUCUAUCUUGUAGUAAUUGUGUUGAACCACAUUGAUGACAAUACUUAUAUAUCAACACCCAUAAAUUGAGUCC